UGGGGAAUAUUGGACAAUGGGGGCAACCCUGAUCCAGCAAUGCCGCGUGUGUGAAGAAGGCCUGCGGGUUGUAAAGCACUUUCAGUAGAGAAGAAAAGCUUAGGGUUAAUACCCCUGAGUCUUGACGUUACCUACAGAAGAAGCACCGGCUAACUCCGUGCCAGCAGCCGCGGUAAUACGGAGGGGGCUAGCGUUGUUCGGAAUCACUGGGCGUAAAGCGCGCGUAGGCGGAUCGGUUAGUUGGGGGUGAAAUCCCGAGGCUCAACCUCGGAACUGCCCUCAAUACUGCCGAUCUUGAGUCCGGGAGAGGUGAGUGGAAUUCCUAGUGUAGAGGUGAAAUUCGUAGAUAUUAGGAAGAACACCAGUGGCGAAGGCGGCUCACUGGCCCGGUACUGACGCUGAGGUGCGAAAGCGUGGGGAGCAAACAGGAUUAGAUACCCCUGUAGUCC
rnacentral:rRNA from 1 species